AACGAACGCUGGCGGCAGGCCUAACACAUGCAAGUCGAACGCCCUGGCAACAGGGAGUGGCAGACGGGUGCGUAACGCGUGGGAACAUGCCCUUUGGUUCGGAAUAACUCAGGGAAACUUGAGCUAAUACCGGAUAAGCCCGAGAGGGGAAAGAUUUAUCGCCGAAGGAUUGGCCCGCGUCUGAUUAGCUAGUUGGUGAGGUAAUGGCUCACCAAGGCGACGAUCAGUAGCUGGUCUGAGAGGAUGAUCA
rnacentral:rRNA from 1 species